AUUGAACGCUGGCGGCAGGCCUAACACAUGCAAGUCGAGCGGAGCUGGGGACGGGUGAGUAAUGCCUAUGUAUCUGACUGUGCGUGAGGGAUAGCGUCCGGUAACGGACGCUGAUACUACAUCCUAUCAGCUGAGCCUAGGGCGGAUUAGCUAGGUGGUGGGGUAAGGGCUUACCAAGGCGACGAUCCGUAACUGGUCUGAGAGGAUGAUCAGCCACACUGGAACUGAGACACGGUCCAGACUCCUACGGGAGGCAGCAGUGGGGAAUAUUGCACAAUGGGCGAAAGCCUGAUGCAGCCAUGCCGCGUGUGUGAAGAAGGUCUUCGGAUUGUAAAGUACUUUAAGUGGGGAGGCGUUACCAACAGAAUAAGCACCGGCUAACUCCGUGCCAGCAGCCGCGGUAAUUC
rnacentral:rRNA from 1 species